rnacentral:lncRNA from 10 species
GAGACUUGAAAGGGCGCGUCGGGCAACGCCUCCCCUCCUCCCACUCCGGGCGCCCCUCCUCCCCCCGCUCCCCUCCCGCUUCCCUCCUUCCCCUCUCUCGCCUACCCCUCCUCUUCCAGCUUCCUACCCCUUCCAUCCUCCCCUCCUCCUCUCCUCCCUCCAGGCCCCUCUGCCUCCCUCUGGCUCUGCGCACCCCUUUCUCUCCUCCCCGUCCCCCAUUCCGGGCGCGCUUCCUCCUUGGAGGGGGUGGGAGCCUUUGGCCCCGCACCCCGCCCGCAAGGAAAGAGAAUGCGCGGGUCACCCUUCCGCCUCCGCCCACUCCCCUGGGGAAAGGUGUUCAAAGGGGGUGCGGGCGGCGAGGCUGGAGGCCUGGCGUGGGAUCCAAGCAAAGCGGCCUGCUGAGCCGGGGCAAAUGACUUGUUGAAACGGGAGAAAUCUCCGAGAAACGCUCCCUGUCAGUCUAAGAACGUGCACUUAGGCCCCUUCGCCGAGUCCUCUUCUCUUCCAGAGCAAAUUGAAUCACCACAAUCAAAGCUGAUUUUAUUUGUGUUCGCGGUCUUGUGGGGGAGGGGGGACUACAUGGGCGUUUGAGACCCAAAGGCAGGAAGAGUUUCCCCUGGGGUCCUUCGUUCUCCAAUGCGGGUACAAGGCAGUGGCCAUCUGAUUUACCUGGAAGGUCCCUCCUCUGCCAAGGGCCUGCUUGAGCCCUUCCCCUCUUCCAGCAGUUUUCCCCCUCCUAAGGUUAAUGUCACCUCUUCUCCACACUAGGAUAAAGAGCAGACAGGAGACCCAGUGGAGUCUAGAGAACAUUUCUUGACGCAACCGUUAGUGUUUUUCAUUUAAAAAAAAGAUUAAAAUAAAUGCCUGAUUUCCCAAGAGAAUUCUCUGCCCCUUUGAACAAUGCAAUAAUUCAACUCCUUAUGUGUUAGACUUUCAAAAGUAGUUGGAUCUUAGCAACGGUAUAAUAGUAAAAUAGAUGAGAAUACAUUUGACAGUUUCCACUUUUCUUUUUUUUUUUUUAACCUGAGAAAUCCAUGGGUGUUUUGAUGUGAUAGUGCUGACGCUGUUUGAUGUGUCUUAAUUUUUAUCACCAUCAUUAUCAUCUUUCCAUCAUUAAUACAGAGGAUCAUAAGAUGUACCAGCUGCUCAGCUCACACGGAUGUUGUGAAGAUUAAUGUGCUCCUGUUUGCAAAUCUUGAAGAUGAAAGAAUACCUGUGUGGGCAAAAAGAAGAUCAUGAAAACGAUGCCUAUGAGCGCAGGCAUUAUUUUGUAAGUUGGUGACUUUGAUGCUUCUGUCCUUACAAAAAGAGAAAACUUCUACAAACAGACACAAACCCAAGGCUGGAGGAUUGCUUGAGAUCAGGAGUUCGAGACCAUCAUGGGAAACACUGCAAGACCCUGUUUCUACAAUUUUUUUUUAAUCAGCCAGGCAUGGUCGCACAUGCCUCUAGUCCCAGCAACUUGAGAGGCUGAGGUGGGAGGAUCGCUUGAGCCCAGGAGGUCAAGGCUACAGUGAGCUAUGAUUGCACCACUGCACUCCAGCCUGGGCGACAGACAGAGAUCUUGUCUCUAAAAGAAAAAAAAAAAAAUGCCCCAGAGUCAAAAAUAAAUUAACCCUAUAAACCUAAGAAAACCUUACAUGCUUGUAUAGUUUAUUGUCUUACACUGUGUCUCUAAAUUUUUCAUAGGCUUUA